rfam:Cucumis sativus cultivar 9930 chromosome 5, whole genome shotgun sequence.
AGCAAGAUGAUGGAAACUUUAUUAUCUGAAAUUGAUGUGGAACUUAUAUCAUUCAUUCUGGUCUUCAAAGUUCUCUGAUUGCU